rnacentral:misc_RNA from 1 species
GAUGAAGAACGUAGCGAAAUGCGAUAAGUAAUGUGAAUUGCAGAAUUCAGUGAAUCAUCGAAUCUUUGAACGCACAUUGCGCCCCUUGGUAUUCCGAGGGGCAUGCCUGUUCGAGCGUCAUUAUAACCCCUCAAGCUCAGCUUGGUGUUGGGGCCUGCUGCACUGGCAGCCCUUAAAAUCAGUGGCGGCGCCAUCUGGCUCUAAGCGUAGUAAUUCUUCUCGCUAUGGAGUCCUGGUGGAUGCUUGCCAUCAACCCCCAAUUUUUCUAUGGUUGACCUCGGAUCAGGUAGGGAUACCCGCUGAACUUAAGCAUAUCAAUAAGCGAGGA